AGAGAAGCUAUCAAUAAACUCAAUAGAUGGGCUUAUAUCCUAGUCCUAGUACCAUGAGACUAAGGAUGAUGGGUUGAGUAGGGUCUUCUAGCAGGCCUAGAGGAGGAAGGUUUGCAAGUGACUGGGGGUCUAGCAAAAGUAGAGGAUUGAGUUUGAAGAGGAGGUAUGAUGAGAAUGGUUUGCUCUUGAUUCUCCCAACUAAUCUUGGUCUCAGCUUCAAUAUUUGUAAACCUCUGCUCUAAAAUGAUUGAUCGACUGAUAAGUGUUUACCAUCCGAAAGUCCAUAUCUGAUGUC
rnacentral:lncRNA from 1 species